CGAAAGACCUUACCCAGACUUGACAUGCAGAAGACGACAUUAGAGAUAGUGUUUUCCUUCGGGACUUCUGCACAGGUGCUGCAUGGCUGUCGUCAGCUCGUGCCGUGAGGUGUUGGGUUAAGUCCCGCAACGAGCGCAACCCUUAUCAUUAGUUGCCAACACGUAAUGGUGGGAACUUUAAUGAGACUGCCUGGGUUAACCAGGAGGAAGGUGAGGAUGACGUCAAGUCCGCAUGGCCCUUAUGUCUGGGGCUACACACGUGCUACAAUGGUCGGUACAGAAGGCAGCGAAGCCGCGAGGUGAAGCAAAUCCCAAAAACCGAUCCCAGUUCAGAUUGUAGUCUGCAACUCGACUACAUGAAGAUGGAAUUGCUAGUAAUGGCGAGUCAGCAU
rnacentral:rRNA from 1 species